rnacentral:rRNA from 1 species
UACGUAGGGUGCAAGCGUUAAUCGGAAUUACUGGGCGUAAAGCGUGCGCAGGCGGUUAUGUAAGACAGAUGUGAAAUCCCCGGGCUCAACCUGGGAACUGCAUUUGUGACUGCAUAGCUAGAGUACGGUAGAGGGGGAUGGAAUUCCGCGUGUAGCAGUGAAAUGCGUAGAUAUGCGGAGGAACACCGAUGGCGAAGGCAAUCCCCUGGACCUGUACUGACGCUCAUGCACGAAAAGCGUGGGGGAGCAAACAGG